AGAAAGAGUGGAUGUACACUCCAGUGAACAUGGGAAAAUAUGUGAUGAAUAAGGAAUAUAGGUGGGGGGGGGGGAGUAAGCAGUUUCUCUAGUUACAGGGUAGACUUCAGUGACUGGAAGUUACGGCAUCAAAUUCCAGAGCCCGAAACCAACAUUUUAGUUACGCUGAAGAUGCAUACAUCUAAUAUCUCUACCCAUAGUGCAAGUGAACAUCAGUGUUUAAAGUGUAUGAGUGUAGAUUAUAGUUUUGUUGGACCCUUUUUUCCUUAUUCAUUUCAAUAAACUCAUCACUAAUGCCUGUGUUGCUUGAAAAUCUUCUUAUUGAUAAAUGUUGAGUGAUACAAAGUUUCAUAUUUUAAGUAUUAUAGUGACAUGGAUAUUUCUCUUAAUGUGGUCUUUUCUUCCUGUUAAUUGGUAACAAUAUUUGUUCUAACUAUAUAUCACAAUAACAUACUUCAUUGUUAGUCUUUGGAAUGUUGGAAUGGUACAUACUGUACUCCUAACUUGUAAUAGUGGAUUAGUUUAAUAGCUGGAACAUAUUUGCUGUCUUAAAUUAUUGAUUUGCUGAGUGGGUUGCACUGCUGUAUGCACAAUUUAGAAAGAAGAUGGUGGAUAGUUAUCUAACUGGGUUAUGCAUUACACAACUACUACUGCUGUAAAGUGUCUGCUUAUGUGGGAAUGCUAGGUUUGGCAGUUGUUCUUGAAUGCAGUACAGGGUAUCUGGUUUCUGAUACCUGUAGUGGUAAAAUUUAGUGCUUGACUUCAUUUAAAAUUACUGAUUAUAUUUUGUCUGUCAAAAGUUUACAUUCGAAUGCUAACAGUGGAAUGGUUUUUGUAGCUUUUGUAUUUCUGCUGAACAUUGAAUGUCCAACACACGCUAGGGUUCCAGUACAAAGUGUACAGUACAGUAUAGGAAUAUGCUAUGACUUGUGUAUUAACCAGUUGGUUAGCUUUGCCCCUCACCUCUGCCUGUCUCUGUGAUAUAUGAAUGUGUGUAUAUUUUGCAAUGCACAGUAUAAUCAUAUUCUGUUUGGGGAAUGGUGAAAUUCUAACUAGCUAUGAUAGUGUGCAUUUCCAUGUGAUCUUCACUCUCCCUUGUUCAAUUUGUACAAGUGUUGAUAAAUGAGUGGCUUGUAUGCUGUGCUUGUUAACUGUUCUUGUGUGAAUUUUGCCAAUAAUCUCUACUAGAAUAUUAUUUACUCGAACAUGUUUGCAGUAAAAUAUGCUUUAAACUUGACAAAAUGUAUUUGUUACUACAAUUCUUUAACAAACCAUGUGUUAUGAUACACAGUUCUGUUGCUUAUAUAUGUAUAGUGUGUAUGUGAUGUUUUUGUAUGAACUUUUACAUCCUGUAAUCUUGGCUGAAUUGAGUGAAAUAUUGAUAUACUGAUUAUGUAAAUGAGAUAUACUAUCCUUAGAUUAAGAUGCAUCUUGUAAACUUGGAGGAACUGGAACCUUGCAUUAAUGUGUUUGGAUUCAUUAUCUGGGCUCAUUAAUUCAAGUGUCGGUCACUCUCUUAUAAACCUAAUUGGAUUAUAAGGAGAGUGGGAAAGAGGGUGGGACCUUUCCUCCAAGUAAAAUUUUUUUUUUGUUAUAUUCAAAUAAUGUAGAAUGCCAUGAGUGUGUAAUGCUGAUUUUGAAGAUGGAUCCAAAGCCAAAGAACAACCCUAAGAAGGAACAUGAGACCAGAAGUUUAGUCAGCAUUUUCGAGAAUGGUUCCUGGGAGCUAAAUUUAUGCAGUACCAGAAGUCAACUAGGAAAUAGGGCACUUGAUUCAUCUGGGGCUGUGAUAGGACUUGGUGGAAAUAUCAGAUACUGCAGUGCUUUGAAGAUUGGAUAUCUCUUCAUCUUCAUCUCUCGUGGAAGGAGUUCGGGUGUUGCCUACGAUUGUAUUUUAACUUAAGGUUUGGUUGCUGCUCAGUGGAGACCCUGCUGAGUAUCCUGGAGUCUUUAAAAACAGUCGUUGUAGUCAUGAAGGCGUAGUUGCAGGCUGCCCUGUUAAGUCGUGUUGAUGGAUACUGUAAUGGGAGAUGAGUGCAGUUGAAGGUAGCAGUGGGACCUAUGUGCAGCAUCAAAGACAGCACUGUCCUGAGUAUGAUUGAAGGCGACACUGGGGCAUGUGGUCGUGACGGAUGGCAGUGCUGGGAUGUGCGGUUGUGACUGAUGGCAGCGCUAGGACGUGGUAAUGACCGAUGGCACCGCCGGGACGUGGUUAUGACCGAUGGCACCGCUGGGACGUGGUUAUGACCGAGGGCACCGCUGGGACGUGGUUAUGACCGAGGGCACCGCUGGGACGUGGUUAUGACCGAUGGCACCGCUGGGACGUGGUUAUGACCGAUGGCAUCGUUGGGACGUGCGGUUGUGACUAAUGGUAGCACUGGGACGUGAAGUUGUGACUGGUGGUGGACGUGCGAGAAUAGUCGGAUGUAGCGCUAAGACUGGUUAGUGCUGAGCAGCAGGACUGGGACGUAAAUGGGUCGGCGACCGGGCUGGGAAGUGGGACGUAGAAGUGGGUCAGACGUAGAAGUGGGUCGGAUGCCGUGCUGGGACAUCAAAGUGUGAGCCUGGAUGACGGUUGGAACACAGGGACAGAGGGGGUGCAUUUUACUUGUUUACUGGGGUAUGGUGCUCUGGCUUUUUAAAUUUCUCUAUAGUUAGGAGGUACUGUAUAAUAUAAAAAUAUUCACCACUAAGGAUUUUUGUAAAGACAGUGUGCUGUAGGCAAUGUAUAUCAAUAAAACUUGUGCUCUUUAAAACAAUUAGCUACUAUAAUUUUAAUGUUUUGUAGAAGUGAAACUACUCUUUGCUGUCUAGUCUGCACAAUUUAUAACUUAUUGUCAAACGUAAGAAUGAAGUGAAGUAACGCCUGCCCUGAUUAGUUGGAUAGAUCAGUAGCUGUAAGUUAAAUUAGGCCUAAACCACAUGCCAGAGUGACAUAUCCCUAUUAGAUACAACAUUAUGAAGUACCCCUUCUUCCUGAGGUCCAAGGUUGGGACCGUGCGGAGAUCUAGUGGGCUGUUGGAGGCCGCGUGUGGAAGCUACUAAGGGGCAUCAAUGACUACUGAGAAACCAGUGGAGGAGUUAGAAAGCCGCGUCGGGGAGUUUUGGUGACCAGACAAAGAGGCCAUAUAACUGCGGAGUAAGUCGAAGCCACUAAGGAGCUGAAGUGGUUGUCUGAAAUCAUGCUGGGAGCAACAGUUGCAGCGAAAGAGACCACUGAAGAACUGUGGUAGCUGUCAGCAGCCUGCAGUGGUGGCCAGAUGAUGUGCUGAAGUUCGGGUGUUGCUGCUCUUCAAGUUAAAGGGAGUUUGUUGUAUGCAUGGAUAUUGGUAUGUCGUCAAGUUUGUCAUCCAGCACUUGGUUUGCAAAGGAGUGUUGAGACUGAAUCAUCACUUCAGGUUGAAAUAGGAUCCUCAGGAUGUGCAGUUUUGCUGCAGGGACUUAGAUUAUGCUGGUGUGUUCACAAAUUUAGAGGAAAUACUGUACUGUGGGAUUUUUCACCCAAUUUUGUCAGUGGAAUUGUCAGCUUGCUACAUACAGAUCAAGUUGUCAAACAAGACUUGUACUAUGAACAUCAGCAAAACGAUGCCAUUGAAAGAUACAUUUGAAUGUGUGGCGAGACAUUUUGGCUGUGGACGGCAGGUCAGCAUUUGUUCGUAGGAGUUAUAAAAAAGUAUUUGUAGACUUGCCAUUCUGUUCUGGGAAAAAAUUAAUGCAUGUUAUACAAGUAUUGGAAUUGGGAACAGGAAGAUUUUUUGUGAAAAAUAUCAAGAAAGAACAAGAUGCUCCUGGACAGGUCAGGCUCUAGAACUUCUUAUGCAUGUGAUGAAUUACUGUACUAUCUAUCAUUCUGGUGUCCGGGAGCAGUAGUUUUGUAUCUUUGUACUUGAGUACUGUAGUUCCUUCAGUCUUUGACCUUGACUACUGCACAACUCAUGACCAUACACAGAACAUUGACAGAAAAAAAACACAAAGUAGAUAAAUUUGAGAAAAAAGAAGAAUGUAAAAAAAAAAUAGCCAUACUGUAUAUCAAAAUGUAAAACUGAAAACCACUGCCUUGGAUACAAUCUUUUGAAUGCAAUAGAUACCAUUUUACAUGGUAUUUAUAAGUUAGAAAAUACCACUUCUUAUGGAUUUGCCGCUAAUUGCAGUGCUCAUUGCUAAUAUUUUCUGGGUAAAAAACUUGAAUUGGACCAACCAUUGUGCAGAUACAUAUUUUGGAUCUUAAGAGGACUAAAAUUUUAUAUGGAUACACUGUACCAUGCUGCAGAUGAAUAUCUUCGGUCUUACGAGGGAAAAGAUCUUCCUGUUGAGGAUAAGUAUCUUGAUUGUUAGUGAAACAAAGGAUAUACUAUAUUGCUUCUUGCAAUGUCAUUUAAAAGUGAUUUUACAUGCUAAUUACAGACAUCUUCAUUGUUUAAAGAAAGAAUGGAUUGAUAUGCUACUUUUAAGAUUUUGAUAGUGAAGAAGGAAUGGAUACACCUACAAACUGCUUCCAGAUCAGUGAUGGAUAUAUUAACUGCUUAAAAUCUCGUGAUCAGUGAAAGUGAGUACAGUACUGUUCACUUGCAGUGUAUGAAAUGCUUAAUUUUUUAAGACUAACAUGUUCCAAGUAGAGAAAGUACCAAAUCUAACUUAAUUGAAAAUUUAGAUUUGUGAAGACUGUAAGUAACAGUGGAAAUGAAUGAGAAUAAUUUAUAGAUUUACAUGAUAGAAGAUCCCAUAUGAAAUGGCAGUCUUGCCUUGGUACAGUAUCGUGUUUAACCCACCCAGUGCAAAUGACCAGCAAACAAAAACCUUUAAAACCAAUCUGUGUAACUGACCAACAAAACUUUUGCAUACUAUAAAUGGUUAAUUCAAGAAGACUUAAGUUAAAAGAGAAGUAAAGUUAAAUGUGCAAGGAUUAUCUCCAUGGAAUUUCAAAUUGCAGUACCUGUACUGUAUAGAGGAAAGUUAUUUUAUAUUGAAACCUGUAGACCCUAAGGUUAACGAAGAUUAAGUGAAAGGAUAAACACAGUUCUAGGAAAUAUUAAAGAACAUUCUAACUGACUACAGGAACAAUGACUGACAAUAUUCUAAAGUGAACUUGUGGACCAGUAAGUAAAAAGUCACACUUGGUGAGUAAAUUGGCUUUAUUACUAAUGAAUUGCAUACUCUUGAAUAUCUAUACAUAGUUGGUAUUCUUGUAAGUAAAUUAAUAUUUGAAAGAAGAAUAUCUUUAUUACUGAAGUCUGACAAUGACGAAAAGUCAGGAAAAUAAGCAUGGAAACUAGACUGAUUCAUGGUAAAUGAUAAAACAACAGUACCAAUAUAUUGAAUGUUUAAGGCUCCAUACUGAAGUAAAUGAGCAGGUCCUAAGUAGUUGAAUACUACAGCAUUGUGGAAGUAAACAUAAUGAAUAUGAUGCUAAAGUUACAGUUUUUCUGAAGUAACCACCGUUUGAGAAGUAACCAUACUUAAAUAUGAUGUGAAAGUUACACCGUUUGACAAGUAACUAUGGCAGUUUCAACGGAAUUGUCUUAAGUGAAUAUUCAAGCCAAUUAAAAUUAGCUCCCUUGAAUAUGGAACAAAACCUACACCAGUCGAGAAGGAAGAUGAAAGGUACACCAUGGAAAGAAUAUAUCUGCAUAAGCACCAAAAUAAAUGGCGAAUUGAGAAAUUUUUGAAGGUCGUCUUGCGGGACAGAUCAACAACUUGAAGAAUAAUACAUUAUAACUAAAGGCAAGGUUAUUUUUGUUAUUGUAAAUAGAACUUAUGUAUUGCUAGCCAAUUAAGGAUAAUUUGUAAAGUAUGGUAAGAUGUUUGAGAAUAACAUGAAUUUGUCAUCAAAUAUUAGAGAAUAGGUAUUGUACAUGAAUUUGUCAUCAAAUAUUAGAGAAUAGUCAUUGUAAAUUUAUUCACUGCAUGAAGUGGAUGGGUAUGGUAAACGCCACAGGUGCAGGAAGAUGAUGGGCAUGGUCGCCUACACAGGUGCAGGAAGAGGAUGGGCAUGGCUGACGACACCAGUGCAGGAAGAGGAUGGGCAUGGUCGCCUACACUGGUGCAGGAAGAGGAUGGGCAUGGUCGUCUACACAGGUGCAGGAAGAGGCUGGGCAUGGUCGACGACACAGGUGCAGGAAGAGGAUGGGCAUGGUCGUCUACACAGGUGCAGGAAGAGGAUGUGGGCAUGGUCGUCUACACUGGUGCAGGAAGAGGUUGGGCAUGGUCAUCUACACAGGUGCAGGAAAGAGGAUGGGCAUGGUCGGUGGCCUACACAGGUGCAGGAAGAGGAUGGGCAUGGCUGACACCAGUGCAGGAAGAGGAUGGGCAUGGUCGUCUACACAGGUGCAGGAAGGGGCUGGGCAUGGUCGACGACACAGGUGCAGGAAGAGGAUGGGCAUGGUUGUCUACACAGGUGCAGGAAGAGGAUGGGCAUGGUCGUCUACACAGGUGCAGGAAGAGGCUGGGCAUGGUCGACGACACAGGUGCAGGAAGAGGAUGGGCAUGGUCGUCUACACAGGUGCAGGAAGAGGAUGGGCAUGGUCGUCUACACAGGUGAAGGAAGAGGAUGGGCAUGGUGGUCUUCACAGGUGCUGACGAGGGAAGGAUGUACAAGAGGAUGGGCAUGGUCGCCGUUGGGACGUUGUUGAUGAGGUGCAAGAGGACGGGCAGGUCGUCGUCGUCGAUGGAAGCACAAGAGGGUGGGCACGGUCGUGAUGGAGGUACAAGAGGACGGUCAUUGUCGUUGAUGGGGGAAAGGAGAAUGGUCAACUUCAAGAAUUCAAGACCCCAGAGGAAGUAUAAGGCUGGAUGCAGAUGUCUUUGGUGAGAGGACAUAUGUGGUUGUCUUAGAUAGUGGAUGUAAAGUCAUCAGGCAGGAACUACUAGGAUGGGCCUCCACUUUAAUAGGUGUAAAAAAAGGUGAGGGUAGUGUGGUUGGUUGAUUUAGGCACUUUCAUUUAACAUCAGGAUUUCAAGAGAUUGGCCUUGGUUUGAAGAGGAAAAUUGGUUCAGGUUUAUCAAGAAGAUAUUGAAGACCCUGUACAAAGCUGUAAGGAGAUGAAGAAGGAUCCCAUUAUGAUAGCCAGGUGGAUUACAGUAUAAUUUCACAGGGAAGUGAAAAAGAUAGAUUUUAUCACUGGCCACUGAUUAUUAAGGUGGAGAGAGUAGAUUUUGCUAGGGAGAAGAAUAUGUGCUAGGCAUUAAUUAUCAGGAGGCAAGGGAGAGUAAUAGCAAUAACACUCAGGAGGUAAGCAAGAGUGGAGGAAUUUGUCCACAGGAUUGGGGAAAGGAGGAAAAGGGUUAAAUGUUCAUCUCGGUAAGGAAUGAAUUGAAGAUAAAUAUGCACUCUUCAAGAGCAGGGGCUUCAUCGCCCUGUCAUCACAAAACAGAAGAGGAUGGUUAUUCACAGUAGCCUUCAGUCAUCACAAAUCUCAAGUUAUAAAUGAAGAGGAUGGACUUGAGCAUAUUCAGCCUUGAAGUACAACAGUAAAGGAAGGCCUUAGUCAUUGAGAGAUAUAAGAAGAUGGACUUUGACAGAAGUAUGUCUUCAGUGCCAGGAGGAUAGAGAGGUGUUGGUUAUCCCCACGUUAUGAGAAGAGGAUUGUCAAGUACUGCACUGCUUGCAAAUAAUGAGAUUCACCCACCAACUUGACGGUCGUGGACGGUCCUUCAGGAGUGUCCUAGACAAUCAAAUCUCUCUUAUUCCAGAGAGACAACUGGUGCUACAGUACAAGACCACUCAAGGUAAGGUGUUUGUAUCAUUUCAGUUUUAUGUGGUAAGUAUAAAAUUGUAUUUUCUGAGGAUCUACUUUUUUUUUUACUCCUUGGUAAUCAUAAUGUUUGUUUUGUGUGAAUGUGUUUCAUAAUUUCACUACAGAGUUAUCUUAAUGAUUCAGGCAUUGGUAAGUGUCGCUCAGAGUUCACUAAGCAAAAUUCUUCCAUUCAUAUUCACCAAUACUAGAUAUCCCUAUCAAUUAUAGUACGUACAUGUAUUCAGUUUUUAGAUGUCAACCCUAUCAAUUAUUCAGUUUUUAGAUGUCAUGAAUAGAUUCUAAAAGGCAAUAUUCUUUCACCCAAAUUCACCAAUUCCAGGUUCCCCCUUUUUGGCUUGAUUGUUGAGACUGGGUGGAGCGAGCCUGGGACAGUUGUGACAUGGCCGAGCAAGGCAGGGACUGAGACAGGAAAGCCAUGGGGCAGGGCCAGAUGAAGAAACAGUCAUUCGUAGGCAAUACAGAGCAGACAACUCUGGGGGCCGUGUGUGGAUUGGACCCACUGUAGAUGCGCACUUUGUGGAGGAGAGAAGAUAAACAGUGGGAAAAGAAGCUACUACCCUAACCAGAUCAGAUGGACGUUACAAAGCCUCAAUCUUUUCGAACUAGGGCACUAGGACGAAUUUUAGGUUACGUAAAUAUUCUAUCUAUUUAGAGCGUAUUCAUGAGAAGUAAUUUUCCAUAAAGUAUUUUUAUGUUCUGGUAUACUGAGUAGUGAAAUUGCGAAGUUCAUAUAUUGAAAUGAUUUUUCAUGAUCUCAAACUGAAGUGGUUAUUACUGAAGAUAGUUCGUCAAAAAUUAAUCGCGUCCCGUUGACGUCCACAUCAACUCCACCUUGUCCCUCGGCUCAGCUGCAACAGGAAGUCGUCAGAGGAAUCUGAUGACCGCCUUCUUAAAAUCCACGCUCUGGUAAUAUCCAGGUCAGGUUACAGUAUUCGAAGCUGUAGUGAUUCUUCAGGUCUUCUCUUAGGACAGGAUGUUUGGUACACCACAACUUUGAAAAUGUUCCACGGCAUCACCUCGGCCAGUUGCACUUUCAGAGGAUCGUCUUCAUAUGUCUUGCAUCUGAGUUUGUUCUACCCAUUCUCCCAUGAAAAGGUCGUGGCUCAUCACAUCUAUCACUUCUGCACAUCAGUAAUCACUACUAUAUCAACACAGUUACUGUGUAUUUCAUCAUCAACCUUUGCUACAGUGGCUUCACAACUUUAACAAAGCUGCUGUGUGUAUAUCACAUCUACAACUUCAUUAUAACGGCUGUGUGUGUAUGUGCUAUCUGCUGUGUACGUCAUCACAUCCGCUGUGUACGUCAUCACAUCCCCAUCUAUAUAGCUGCUGUGUUUCUUCACUACUACAACUACAUUGUUGCUGGUUGCAUGUCAACACAAAAUGUCACCACUGAUGAAUGUCUUCACUUCUAGCUCUGACAUUACUGAUGAAUUUUAUGAAUGUUUGAUUAAGGUUAAUUUGUUUUACCAGUCGGUGCUGUUUCAGAUGGCUGAAACAAUUUAUGAAUAAAAUUAUAUCAUAA
rnacentral:misc_RNA from 1 species